rnacentral:rRNA from 1 species
GACGAACGCUGGCGGCGUGCUUAACACAUGCAAGUCGAACGGAAAGGCCCUGCUUUUGUGGGGUGCUCGAGUGGCGAACGGGUGAGUAACACGUGAGUAACCUGCCCUUGACUUUGGGAUAACUUCAGGAAACUGGGGCUAAUACCGGAUAGGAGCUCCUGCUGCAUGGUGGGGGUUGGAAAGUUUCGGCGGUUGGGGAUGGACUCGCGGCUUAUCAGCUUGUUGGUGGGGUAGUGGCUUACCAAGGCUUUGACGGGUAGCCGGCCUGAGAGGGUGACGGGCCACAGUGGGACUGAGAUACGGCCGAGACUCCGAGGGGAGGCAGCAGUGGGGAGUAUUGCACAAUGGGCGGAGUCGUGAUGCAGCAACGCGGCGUGCGGGAUGUCGGCCUUCGGGUUGUAAACCGCUUUCGCCUGUGACGAAGCGUGAGUGACGGUAAUGGGGAAAGAAGCACCGGCUAACUACGU